GUGAGGCUCUGGAUGCAGCGCGGAACUCCUCGGUCUCCAGGGAUCUUGUGGCAUUUUGCCCAGAUGGCACCAGUCUGUGUCUCUAGGACAUAACCCAGUGCCAGCGGCUCCGUGCAGGAGUGCCAGAGCGACAGAUGAAGCUGGGGCGUUCCUUCGUCUCCACUGAGAGGGAAGAAAAGCUCCUGGAAAUGCCGGGAAUUGUGCCGGCCGCUCCCUGUCACCUCCACGGAUGAGCCAGCUCCCAGCUGCCCAGCUCCCUUGGUGCAGGGGCAGUGCCAGCCGUGUGUGGGAGCCCUGCUCCCAGAGAGGAGAGACCACACUCCAGCAGAGCAGUUUUUUAGGGUCGACGCAAAAUGGGUCGUGGUGGCACUUCAUCAGGUUUGCUCAUCACGUGAGCCCUGACCCCGGCACGUGACGGUGCGACCGAUGCUCGCAGCAGCAUGUGACCCUAAAUGCUACGUGAGCUCAAAAAAACCAGAAAUUUAAAUGCAAAAGUAUCAGCAGGUCUGUCUCCUGCCUUCACCUGCUCGGCGUGGUGGAGCCGUACCCCUCCGUGCCGCCGCAGCGCUGCCAAGCCCUGCCCUCCGCUCCGGCGCCACGGCUCCCCAUUCGGUGAGUGAACAGACACUUCCAGCAAUUAAUUGGCGCCGCGCCGGCUCAUUAUCAUGCGGGGCACGAGUGGGCUCUGCCGCGUGCGGCCUCGCGCCGUGGGAGCCACCGGUGGCCCCGGGGCUGUGGCGCUGCCAGGGGGGCUCGGGCAGGGUCGGGCGUGAGGGCGGGGUGGGUUUGCCGGCGCGUGUCCCGUCUCUGCCCUCCGAGCAUCGCCACGCUCCACAGAGGGCUCCUUGGGGCGGGGGCCAGGGUGCUCUGUGGCCACGGCUCUGCUGCGUUCGUGCUAGGGUUUAACCGUGAUGUGUCCUGCUUGGGGUGGGUUUUGGGGGCUGGUUUCCCUUCCUUCCUCGUCUGAAGGGCGGUUGGUGCCAGGCGCUCAGCGCUAGUGGGUUACCAGACCCAAAGUGGCAGCUCCCAGACAAUGCAGGUUUUAUUUUGGUGCUUGGUCAGUGCAUUGGUGCUCCCCAGUGAUGUCCCCGUUGGGGUGGGGCCACCCACUCUCCCCCUCUCACUGCUGUGUGGGAACUGGGGCUGCAUCCAUAAUGCCGAGAGUGCUGGUGCCGGGAAGGGCCAGAGGGAGCCGGCUGUGGGUGUGGGUGCCGUCGGCCACCCAUCAUUAGGAUGCAGGUCCAUUGCCAUCUCCCUGGAGACCAUGGGAAUGGAGGCCGGGUGAGUCGUGUCUGGGGCGGUGGCAGCUGUGCUGGGAGAGGGCAGCUGUGUGCCGGGGUGCCGAUGAAUUACUGCCCUGUGCCGGCUCCGGCCUUUGUUCCCCCAUUGUCGGCACAGGAAUGGGGGAGCAGGGGAAGCGUGCAGGGAGCCGGGGCACUGGGACCGAUGGCCAACCCUGCAUGUCACUCGAGCCCACUGCAGGUUCAACCAUCGGUAACAAUUUCAUAUUUUUGUCCUUGAACUAAUUAUCCACAAAAGCUCUUUGGAGCUGACACGGGUGGGAGCUGCCGUUCGGGUGCGGUGAUCCCAUGUUUAACACUCGGGGCAUUCCCAGGCCACUGCAGGCCCUUUGUGCCGCUGAAGGGAGCCAUAUGCUGCAGAGGCAUCUCCAAGGAUCUUGCAGGGACAACAGAGAAAGGGAUUUCUGAGUGCUGCUGAAUGCGGCUGCCAAUCACCCGCCGUCCAGGCCGGCUGCCUUGUGCAAGCCUGGAAUGCGCGGCUCCGGCAAACACGGGCUCAUGUUUGGAGUCAGGAUUUGCCAUCUGGGGGAAUGAGCUCCACAAGCUUUUAAUUGGCAUCAGUGUCUGCCCUGCCCUGUUCUCACGUUUGCUGCCACUCCCAAGUCAAGCUCCUGUGUAAUUCCAUCGCAGGGAAGCAGCUUCCGUGGUGGCGCUGCCGGAGGAUGAUCCUUCCCUGUGCUCAUCCAGAUUGUCUUUGCCUGGCAGGCGGCUGUCCCUGAACACACCAACCAGUGACCCACCCCCUCACUGCUCCGCUCUCCCACAGCACUUUGCUCACGCCCUGGAUUUUUAUUGGGUUUAAUUUGCUCUGUAAUAGUUUCAUGACAGGAAUUCUGCUCCCAUCAAAACCUGCUCCUGUGAAUAUUCCCCCACAGUAUGAGGGAGGGGAUGUGGUGGAAGCCCCCGUGCCAGCUUGGUGUCCCCCCUGCCAUGUGAAGUGUGCAGCCCCUUGUAGCACAUCCACCCACUGUCCCGUGGAGUCUCACUGCACCUGGAGCUGCAGGCACAGCUCCUGGCAGGAGUCAGGACACCAGCGUCGUGUCUCGGGGGUCAGGGCUGGUCCCGGGUGCGAACCCCCAGCUGUGCACCAGCUGUGCCGGCCGGCAAGUGGGGCAGCCAAAUCCCACUGCAGCAACACCUCAGAUGGCAAAGCCCAGAGCCCCCCAAGCAGGGGCUUUCCUCCCCUUUCCUCCUCCUCGCCCCCAUUGCCUUCCUCCCAGCUCUGGGGCCGACAGUGAAAUCCCUCUUGCUGGGCCCAGCCCUGCCCUCUGUGCUCCGCUCCCGUUGCUCCACAGGGAUCUCGGGCUCCAGGGCUGCCCCCGGGUGCUUCUCUUCCAGGUUCUAUUGAUGCUCCCAGCGCGGUUCUUGUGCCAGUCUCUCCCGAGGAGCUGAGAGCUGCAGAGCAGUGAAGAUACUGAUACAAAGAGAGGGGGCAGCCACCCUCCAACAGCCAGCUGGGUGCCAGCACCAAGGACCUUCCCCCGGGACCUUCCUCCAGGACCAGGGACAAGACCUUUCCUCAGAACCUCCCCUGGGACCCUUCUGACUGUCACUCUGCAGUUUUCCCAGGUACUCCAUCCACAUGGACCUUGUGCUGCAUGUCUCCCAUAGCAGUCUCUGCUUCUGAAUUUGCUUCAGAGCUGCGGGUGCCACGAACAUUAAACCUUCAAACAUGAGAGGCUGAACCCUGCAGGACACCAGGACUCUGCCAACAGACCUGUCCAGGACCCUGAGUUUCCCACCCCUUGCCAAAUCCAGAGCCAAGAGUGCAGGAAGCACUGGAGAGCAGCCCCUCACAGACAGCCUGGGGAGUAAAGAACAAGUUCCUCAGAGGCUGUGACUAAACAGUCGGUAAUUAAGGGCUCCAGCAAACUGAGAGUUUGCUGAGUGCAGCCCUGGGGAGGCCAGCGGGGAUGGGCUGGGGUGAGCAGGCCGUGUCCCUGCCAUGUGCAUCCCACUGUGGCAGGAGUGCAGGAGCCUUCGGGGUGCUGACAGCAGGGGAAGAAAUCCACGGGACAGGGAGCCUGGCCCUGGCUCCUGCCUCUGGAAAACGUGCCGUGAUGGAGUUCCAGGCUCAGCACAACCUAUUCAGCUAAAGCUGAGUGUCCUCACAGAGAUCUUCACCGGCUGCUUCCUGACCUGUCUGCAGUGGACAUGGAGAGCAGCUUUUUCCUUCCUUCUUUGUGGCAGCUCCUCGUCCGUCACAGAGGGGACAGCAGCCAGUCCUGGGGACUUUGACCCGGCAUGGGACAGAGAUGGACGGGAUCCCCCAUUGGAGGGACUGUGGCAAGAGGAACAGGGUGAGCUUCCAGGGUCUGCCCAGCACUCCUUGGACUGUGGUUUUAUUCCUCCUCCUGCUUCCCUCACCCAAACAAGCAGGGCUGGGGCACCCGCUCCCCCCCAGGCUCCCCAGCAGCCAGCCAGGUUCAGACCCCCUCCCCCAGCCACUCUGCUGGGUCUCCAGCCAGCACACAAAGCAGAACUCUCCCUUUUGAUUUAAUAAAUAUCUGGAAAUGUCAUAAAAGACAUGAUAAUAAAAUAUCAGAUGCAGGAAAAUGAGUAGCCAAAGGCAUUAAAAAAAGGGACAAAAGUAAACGCAGUAGAUUAAGACACUAAUUCCCAUCCCUUGUAUGUUCUCCAUCUUCCCUGUGUCUUGACAGACAGAAAUAAAUGCCCCCACUUCCCGGGAAGUACUAUCUGCCUCUCGCUGCUGGAUUGUCACCACGGGGUGCCCACAGCCGUCAGCCCAUUUAUCCUCCAGAUUCAAUGCUUUAUCACUUCCAGAGGAGUGGCUGGGCUGGCUCAUCCUGCGCUCCCACUGCCAGCAUUUGCACUUAAAGGGCACGUCAAGAUUCUGAUAGUAAAAGCUAAAUUUGAUUUUUUCUGCUCUGAAGCAUCUUUGCAAAUUAAAGAGCCAAUUUGUGCCUUUGUUUAGGCCAUGCAACAAGGCAACAGGAGCAAAGACAAAACCAGAAGGAAAAAUAGUCUCAGGGAGUUUGGAGGAGCCGCUGGGUCCAACUAUAACUCUGUCACAGUGGGAGCUGGAGGUGGGGGUUUUCUUGCAAAUGCAGCUUUGAAGCAAAUCAAAUGCCAGUAAAUUCCCAAACCCAAUGGUGCCAUGAACACAGGAGUGGGAUCAGCGACAGGGUGAUCGAUGUGUUAAUGUUUUAACAGGCCAACCACCUCAUAAAUAAUUUGCUGAGUUCUGGAGUAACUGACCUGGUCACAGUGGCAAUAAAGGACCGUCCCCUGGGCUCUGCUCCAGGGCUCCACAA